rnacentral:rRNA from 1 species
UACAGAGGUCUCAAGCGUUGUUCGGAUUCAUUGGGCGUAAAGGGUGUGUAGGUGGCGCGCUAAGUCGGGGGGGAAAUUUCGGAGCUUAACUCCGAAACUGCAUUCGAUACUGGCGUGCUUGAGGACUGGAGAGGAGACUGGAAUUCAUGGUGUAGCAGUGAAAUGCGUAGAGAUCAUGAGGAAGACCAGUGGCGAAGGCGGGUCUCUGGACAGUUCCUGACACUGAGACACGAAGGCCAGGGGAGCAAACGGG